CUCACGCCUCUCUCACUCUCUCUAUCCUCUCGGCUCCCUCUCGCCUCCUGCCUGCCGCCGUUCAACGGCGCCGCCACCGCCGCCGGUGAGUGGCGCGGCUUCUCUCUCUCCCUCAGCAUCUCUCUUCCCCCUGACUCUAUAUUUCUCUCCCCCUCAGUUUUCCUUUAUCUCUCGCAUUUUGUCGACCGAGGCGCAACAGACGCCACCACUGUGGUGCGCCGCCGCCGCCUGCGCUCCACCUCCGGCCGAAUGGUCGCAUCCUCAUCUCCCUCAUCUAGCCUCGCUCUCUCUGUUACACACUCACACGUGCACGGACACGGCAUAAGCCGCACCGCCGCCGGAAACAGGACAGCAAACACCCCACCGCGGGGCGCCGCCGCCUGCUCCUUCUUUUCCGACGAUCUGGAACAUCACAACGGUGUAGCUGCCGUCGUCGCGCCAUCGCCGUACGUUUGCCCUGAUCGGAAGCCACCCGCCGCCGGUUGCCGGAAAAAGAUAAGUCCUCCCUUCCCUCUCUUCUUCUCUUACCCCUUUUUCCCGUCUCUCUCUCUCUCUUUUUUUAUUUUUUUAUUUUUUUUUAAACUGAAAUCCUAACCAAUUCUCUCUCUACCCUCUUCUCUCUCGUUUUUGGCAGGACAAAGGCUAGGCGGUUACCGCCGCGCCGUCGCCGGCCAUGAGCAGCCGUCGGCUGCUCUCACCCCCAUCACUCCGUUCUCGGACACACAUACAAGACAGAGUACAAGAACCCCCAAAUUCAGUCCAGAUUCACAAGUAUAGCAAAGCUAGGGUUUUGUUUAGAAAUCUGUUCUUUCAUCAUUCAUUUAUCAUUUCCUUAGCAAAAUCAAACCUUGUAAAUGUAAUAGUUUAGAAAAUAUAUAAACAUGUGUGCGUGUGUAUUAUUCUGUUCUUCUUUUCUUAACAAAAUCAA